GUUUUGUUUUGUUUUUUUUAAUUUUGGACAGCUAAUCUCUGUAGUGAGGAACCCAGAACUUUCGGUAAUGUAAGGGAUAUUAGUCUGGUUGUCAGAAAAAUGGGCUGGAGUAUUUGUGCUGUGUCCCUGACCAUAAUUCCUGCUCAGUUGCUUAGCUCCCUGGCAACUAUGUCUGAGGGCUAAACAGGAGUUGGUGUGAUCUUCCAGAAAAAGAACAGGCUUCUUGUCUUGCAGAGGCAGGAAGUCAGAAAACAAGAGUGUGUGUGUGUGUGUCAGGGGGUGGGGGGUGUCAGGCCUCCUUCCCUUCAGUUUGGGACUUAAAACUUCCACCAAUAACGUGAGUAUGUGCACCCAUGCAGCAGCCUGUCCGAGGACUCACAACUGGAGACACCUCCCUGCUUGGCGCUGCCCAGAAAACUAUGUAGAUGGCCAAGAAACCGACU
ensembl:lncRNA DPH1-AS1 DPH1 antisense RNA 1